UACGGAGGGUGCAAGCGUUAUUCGGAUUUACUGGGCGUAAAGCGCGCGUAGGCUGUUUAGUAAGUUUGGUGCGAAAGUCCACGACUCAAUCGUGGAAGUGCACUGGAUACUGCUAGACUAGAGUGUAGGAGAGGAGAACGGAAUUCCUGGUGUAAAGGUAGAAUUUGUAGAUAUCAGGAGGAACAAUGGUGGCGAAGGCGGUUCUCUGGACUAUUACUGACGCUGAGGUGCGAAAGUGUGGGGAGCAAAC
rnacentral:rRNA from 1 species